rnacentral:lncRNA from 1 species
AAAAUUUGCAAUUAAGUCCCCGAACUUGUAAAAUCCAUUAUUUUGACCCUAAAACUUUAUUUUUCUUCAUAAUUAACUCCAAAUUGAUUUAAAAAGGUAAUUUUGGUCGGAUUAACCCCAAUUUUAAUCUUGAAUUCACCCGUCCUUUGUCUCCCGAGACCCGAGAAGGCAAUAACUUUCAUCAUAGGAUUUUUCAUAAUUUUCUUGAUAUUUAGAUCCAGAAAAUAGGUUCUGACAAAUGGUACCUUACUUUCCUUUUGUUGGUCAUGCAUAUCGUUUUAGGCUUUGAUUGAAAUUUCUUCAAAUGUCUUUGUUCCAAAUCUUUCAAGGGCCACUACUACGAACAUGGUAAUUCCUCGCUUCUUUUAACUUGAUGACUCUGUAAUGUACUUCUUCUUAUCUUGAUGUCUUGAAUUUCCUUCCACGGGAUAAUCUUGGCUUACAUUCCUGAAGCAUUAAUGUUACUAUCGCCACUACCACUAUAAGCACUUCCACUAUUGCUUCUUCACAUUCUCAAGUAGUGUUUUCUACUCUUAUGCCUUUAGAAUUUUGCUUGAAAGCCAGUGAAUUAUUUGUAAAUUUCUUUCUUCAAUCCUGACUCCCUUUGUAGAACUAUUCUUUGCCCCAAUAGUAAGGAUUUUGAUGCUUCAUUCCCAUUAUUUAUGAUUUGACCCACUAUUAUUUCUCCUCCAACCUCAUCUGUUGUGGAGCUCUUACUAGGCAAGGAAUUGAAUCCUUAGCAAUUCUUAUUGAAAAGUGGCCUUUAGGCAAACUUUUCUUCAUGGACCCUAAAUAGUUGACUUAAGAUAUUAAAUCUAGCCACUAAGUUAGCUACUUAGGAUGUCAAAUUUAGCCGUAGAAUCGGUCUAUCAUUCCUACAAUACCAAAUCACUACUAUUAGUGACUUGAUUACAUGGUAGUGGUAUUGACCUUUAAUCUUAAUCUUACUCCUUCCUUUCAUCCUCGCAUAUAAUAGGCUCAAAACCCACACUACAGUAAUAGUCUUUAUUUGGUAGUGAUUUGAACCAAUUCUUUCCACAGUAAGACAUAAUAACUAACAGUAAUGUUAAUACUAUGGAAAACACAUAAUAAGAACUUACUAUCAGUUUUGAUCUCAAUGUGCAUGCUUGUUGGAUGUUGAUUACCUACUAUUUGAAUGGUGAAAUUGAUUCUUCCACAAAGAUGAAGCUUUUGUUGUGCUUUUCUUUGACAUCCUUUUCAAAGGCUUGUGAAUUCGUGCUUUCUCUGGACUAGUGAAUCCUUGACAAAGUUUUCUCUUUCACUAGGGAAGGUGCCCUCCAAACCUCUGCGUUAACCUUCCUCAUUUCUUAUGUAGUUGACUUUUUGAAUGGUGAAUGAGAAUUUUAUAGGAUUUCCAUAAGGAAUUAGAAUUUUUCCUACUUUGAAAAUUCUUAUUUGAUAUUCUAUCAUUCCUAUUGAUCUUGACUCCUCAGUAAAAUUCUUUCUCCUUAGGCAGUCCUCAAUUCCAUCCAUCUUCUCUUUGCAGUCGUCUAUCUCUGUAAUCUUCUCUUUUGUGUUCUAGUGAGAGGUUGUGGACAUUUUUUAUGAAAUCCACGCUUCUAUUGGUAGAGCUUCAUAUGUGGAGAAUUUAUAACUCUCAGUUGGUUGUUGUGAAAUCUUAUAUAAGAAUUAUUAAGAGCCUUAUGUACAUUUCUCACUCGGUUCUUCUCCGUCUGCACCAAAUAUUGCUUAGGAAUUCACAUAUUGCGGAAAGUCUUUCUAGUAUCAAUUUUUGAAGCUUUCUUCUUCUGGUGAUUCUUGUGUCGCUCUUCUCUUGCUUGAAUCAGAUGCUUCUUAGGCACCCACACCUUGCAAAAAGUGUAUCUACUUGUAUUUUUCUUCUUUGAUCUUCUUUUUUAAUUUAAGGAUACGACAAGAGGUGAAGUGAUUCCAAAAGUUUGUGGAGAAUCCACAAGCCUACUUAUACAAUGACUAUUAUAUAGUGGAAAUUCCUCACCCUUAUGGCAUAGUUGAUUGUCCUCAUCAUCCUGAAUAGGACGUGAGUCAAGGUCUUCUUGAGAAACCUCUGAGGACUGCCCCCCGAGUUCAAACAAAACUUAUUUGGAUUCCUCAGCUCUUUGUGUAGCAGAACAAGUCAUGUAACUUUAUUGAGGAUCUGUAGGUCCGCCACUACGGCAACCAUCACUAUUUAGAGAGUAAGGAGAAUGAGUUAAUUUUUCACUUUAUUGAUGUGCUUCAUACUACUCCUCAACUUGACGAUGAUCUCGAUCACUACUCUAUUGAGGAACAACUUUAAGAACUUCUAAGGAAUGCCCUCGAGUUCCUUUAGAAUUUGCGUUGAAAGCUUGAAAAUGACUUCCUAGCCCUAAUUGUUGAAGCUCUAUUCUUCUAGUUUCCAAUAAUAGGCCAUGUUGGGAUUUAUUGGACUCUUUCAUCCUGAGUGUGAAUUCCUUGAGGAGACAAAUUUCAUUUCUAAUUUAGUGCACGAUCCUACUUCAUCUCCUAUUGGAUUUGAAUAAUCAUUUGCUUGGGUGUCCACCUUCUAUAAAACAUCUUCCUACAAUUGAACUUUGAAUUUUGGCCUUGAUCCAUACCUUGCUCUUGUCUUUAAGGAUUGACCUUAAUUCGAAAGUAGUAGCAUUGAUGGAGGCCAUAGGAGGGAAUGAGUCCUCGUUUAUCAGCAUGGUUUCUUCUUCUCAAAGAACUUAAGAAUUUCUUUGUCAAUCCUGUCCUCAAUAGGAUAUGGUUUUUAAAAUUAAGGACGACCUAUUUGGUGAAGACUAGGUCCAUAUAGCUUUUGUAUGCUUCUUUUAUUGCACCUACAUUAAUGUUAGUUUAAGAAACUUGCAUUUGAGGAAUUGAUACUUGAGGAAUAUUCCCUUUGUUAAUUCCAAUGUAUGGAAUUCUUUGAGGUAUAGUCUCUUCCUCAUACAAGUAAGGCUGAAUGUUAGGAUUGGUUGCUCCAUAUAAUUGCUGAGGAUUCAACCACUGAUAAAUCAAAGGAAUACCCGGUUGGCGGCCAGUCUGCGAUGGAUUCCUAACAAGUCCUGGAUUUUAUUCUCCACUGUGAGGAGGUUGAUAGUGUUCUUCAUCCAACCUUUGAAUUCCAUUCACAAUAAGAGAAUCCCCUUAAGAUUGCCCCCCGAGCUCCUCGUCAUGGUGUGUAGUAGGUCUAACAACAAGAACUUCCUUAGCCCGUUGUAGAGUUGGGGAUGAAAGUUGAUGACACCUUAGACGAACUCAAUUGAGAACUCCGUAUGGUGAAUUGGUGCUACCAAAUUCUCGCUAUGUCUUUUGCAUGACCAUGCAAAAUCUCUAUCUAGGUGUCUGGUGUGUUCUUCCAUUGUCUUGAGUACCUCCUUACUCUACUUCCUUAGACCUUCUAGGAUUUCAAAGUAAGCAGUAGGAUUAACAACACUAAGGAAUGAAAGAAAAUUGUUAACUGGAUUUGCAGCAUCAGGUCUUGCUGAAUUUCAGUGAACUUCUUCACCUUAAAGGUAAGGAUUUUGAGGAAUUGGGCUUCUCUCCCUUCUUUAUUCGAUUUGUUCACAAGUUGAGGAAGAUGAAUAUUGUGCCCUGCUGUUGUAAACACACCUUUUGUAUCAUGAGACCUGGUAAUAUUUCUAAAGCACUACUAGUCUUUGGAACCAUUAGUUUAAGAAUUCUUCAUAAAAUAAAAUAAACAUAGUGUUGAUGCACUGCAUGGAUGUGUACCACUAGGUGUGCCAAAAUUACUGUUUGGUCAGUAUUCGGCCCUUGCAUGUGUAAUGGAUUGCUGAGUGUGCGAGGUUGAUUACCUCAAAUAAUUGUAAUGGAUGUAAUAAAUGUAAAAUACGCGACCAUUUAACUUCUAAUCUAGAUGAUUGUGCAGGUAAUAAAGGAUCUAGAUUACCUUGAGUUUUUAGGUAAGUUGAUACAAUAUUGCCAAAUUAACACAGAGCUAAUUAAUGAGCUAAGGAUAUAAAUAUAAGCUAUUGGCAUGCAAUAUGAGCUAAGGGCAUAACUUGACCUAUGAGCAUGUAAUUAAUAAGUUGGGAAUGCGAAAAUGAGCUUAAGGAAUAAAGCUAAGAGCUAAAUUACUGUAAGCUAAGAGCGAUGAUGUAAAUAUGUAACCUAAGGAACUUAAUUACAAUAAAUAUAAUAUUAAAAUAAUAACUAAAAAGCCACAAAAAUUAAUUGCAUAAAGUAAUUGACUUACAAAUGAAAUUGAAUGUUUAGGAGCACUUGAGAGCUUUGAACGUACUGUAAAUUAACAACUAAGAAUUACUUUUCUAUCCUAAUGAUUAUUUAACUAAGGAUUGUUGAACUCAUCGAAAGAUAGCUUUCUAAUCUGAGGAUAAAUGUAAAAGUAAAGUUUAUAGACUCUGGGUCUAGUUUAAUUUUAUAUUUGAUUGAUUGGGU